rnacentral:rRNA from 1 species
ACCUGGGCUCGAACGUAAGAUGACUGUAGGUGAAAGCUUACAUCUCUUCGGAGCAUUUUACGAGGUGCUGCAUGGUUGUCGUCAGCUCGUGCCGUGAGGUGUCGGGUUAAGUCCCAUAACGAGCGCAACCCCUACCUUUAGUUGCCAUCAGGUUAAGCUGGGGACUCUAAAGGAACUGCCUACGCAAGUAGUGAGGAAGGCGGGGAUGACGUCAAAUCAGCACGGCCCUUACGUCCAGGGCUACACACGUGCUACAAUGGCCGAUACAGAGGGCAGCUACCUGGUGACAGGAUGCAAAUCUCCAAAGUCGGUCUCAGUUCGGAUCGGAGUCUGCAACCCGACUCCGUGAAGUUGGAUUCGCUAGUAAUCGCGCAUCAGCCAUGGCGCGGUGAAUACGUUCCCGGGCCUU